GCAAGUCGAACGAAUAUUUUCUAGAGCUUGCUCUAGAAAAUGUUAGUGGCAAACGGGUGAGUAACACGUGGGAAUCUACCUAUCAGUACGGAAUAACAUUUGGAAACAGAUGCUAAUACCGUAUAUUCUCUUCGGAGGAAAGAUUUAUCGCUGAUAGAUGAGCCCGCGUAAGAUUAGGUAGUUGGUAGGGUAAUGGCCUACCAAGCCUACGAUCUUUAGCUGAUUUGAGAGGAUGAUC
rnacentral:rRNA from 1 species